rnacentral:rRNA from 1 species
AUGAACGCUAGCUACAGGCUUAACACAUGCAAGUCGAGGGGCAGCAUGAACUUAGCUUGCUAAGUUUGAUGGCGACCGGCGCACGGGUGAGUAACACGUAUCCAACCUGCCGAUGACUCGGGGAUAGCCUUUCGAAAGAAAGAUUAAUACCCGAUGGCAUAGUUCUUCCGCAUGGUAGAACUAUUAAAGAAUUUCGGUCAUCGAUGGGGAUGCGUUCCAUUAGGUUGUUGGCGGGGUAACGGCCCACCAAGCCUUCGAUGGAUAGGGGUUCUGAGAGGAAGGUCCCCCACAUUGGAACUGAGACACGGUCCAAACUCCUACGGGAGGCAGCAGUGAGGAAUAUUGGUCAAUGGACGAGAGUCUGAACCAGCCAAGUAGCGUGAAGGAUGACUGCCCUAUGGGUUGUAAACUUCUUUUAUACGGGAAUAAAGUGAGGCACGUGUGCCUUUUUGUAUGUACCGUAUGAAUAAGGAUCGGCUAACUCCGUGCCAGCAGCCGCGGUAAUACGGAGGAUCCGAGCGUUAUCCGGAUUUAUUGGGUUUAAAGGGAGCGUAGGCGGACGCUUAAGUCAGUUGUGAAAGUUUGCGGCUCAACCGUAAAAUUGCAGUUGAUACUGGGUGUCUUGAGUACAGUAGAGGCAGGCGGAAUUCGUGGUGUAGCGGUGAAAUGCUUAGAUAUCACGAAGAACUCCGAUUGCGAAGGCAGCCUGCUGGACUGUAACUGACGCUGAUGCUCGAAAGUGUGGGUAUCAAACAGGAUUAGAUACCCUGGUAGUCCACACAGUAAACGAUGAAUACUCGCUGUUUGCGAUAUACAGUAAGCGGCCAAGCGAAAGCGUUAAGUAUUCCACCUGGGGAGUACGCCGGCAACGGUGAAACUCAAAGGAAUUGACGGGGGCCCGCACAAGCGGAGGAACAUGUGGUUUAAUUCGAUGAUACGCGAGGAACCUUACCCGGGCUUGAAUUGCAACUGAAUGAUGUGGAGACAUGUCAGCCGCAAGGCAGUUGUGAAGGUGCUGCAUGGUUGUCGUCAGCUCGUGUCGUGAGAUGUUGGGUUAAGUCCCGCAACGAGCGCAACCCUUAUGGUCAGUUACUACGCAAGAGGACUCUGGCCAGACUGCCGUUGACAAAACGGAGGAAGGUGGGGAUGACGUCAAAUCAGCACGGCCCUUACGUCCGGGGCUACACACGUGUUACAAUGGGGGGUACAGAAGGCAGCUACACGGCGACGUGAUGCUAAUCCCGAAAGCCUCUCUCAGUUCGGAUUGGAGUCUGCAACCCGACUCCAUGAAGCUGGAUUCGCUAGUAAUCGCGCAUCAGCCACGGCGCGGUGAAUACGUUCCCGGGCCUUGUACACACCGCCCGUCAAACCAUGAGAGUUGGCAACACCCGAAGUCGGUAGUCUAACCGCAAGGAGGACGCCGCCGAAGGUGGGGUUGAUGAUUAGGGUU